CGGCUCAUAGCUCUUUAGUGCUCUGCGUUGUACCUGUAGCAGCCUCGGUUCCAAUCCCGCUCAAAGCAGGGUCUCCUGAGGUGGUGGCGAAUGCUAGAUUUAAACCUGCGCGAGCUGCCCCAUUUGCCUGCGGCACGAGAGCACGGUUUCCCGCGAUUCCAGAGCUCUGCGCUGAGAAAAAGGGAACCUCCGCCGUGCAUGCUGAAGUCUCGGUCGUCUUGAGAUGCUUGACUGCCCUACGUCUGGAAGGAGGCCGACAGCCUGUUGUCAGAAGCAGGACCUGAGGUGAUUUCAGCAAGGCAGGACCGGUGUCUCCUGGAAUUGGGUGCGGUCUCUACAGGAGACUAGUGCUCACCGCUCCUAGCUUGUAUACAUACGGACAGCCUUCUACUCGCACCAUCAGAACAUGUGAUGAAGGGAGCAAAUCUAGGAGGAUUUUUCAUUUUUUUUUCUUUUUUUUUUUUUUUUUUUUUUUUUUUUUGCUUCAAUAGAGGUCUGUGUCAGGCAGAAAAAUGUAAAAGCAAGAUUCAAUCCUUGGCCUUUUCCAGGGACUCAAAAGAGACAUAGAGGGAGAGAACCUCAGUUAUCGCCCAGAUCUUCUGGAGUAAGUUAGACACACCAGUCCAGCCUCCUGAACCGUCACUGGGUCCUGACCACCUAUUUGGGGGAGAGAACUGAUAUUCAUCUCAAAGUUUGGAAGAAAGGGUCUGGGAGGCACCCAGCAAUGGGUGGGCAAAGAGAAUGUGUCAGCAAGUGAAAAUCAACUCUCCAUGGGUCCACGGCAGAUAUGGACCAGAGACCAGAAACAACACGAAUCUCUGAUGUUUUUCUACAGAGUUCUGUUAUCAACUUGUAAAGAGCCGACUUCAAAAUUAGACUUUUCCAAAUCCUAUAUUUGGAUUUGGCCAUGAAGCCAAAACUUCACAGC